rnacentral:rRNA from 1 species
GACGAACGCUGGCGGCGUGCUUAACACAUGCAAGUCGAACGGAAAGGCCCUGCUUUUGUGGGGUGCUCGAGUGGCGAACGGGUGAGUAACACGUGAGUAACCUGCCCUUGACUUUGGGAUGACUUCAGGAAACUGGGGCUAAUACCGGAUAGGAGCUCCUGCUGCAUGGUGGGGGUUGGAAAGUUUCGGCGGUUGGGGAUGGACUCGCGGCUUAUCAGCUUGUUGGUGGGGUAGUGGCUUACCAAGGCUUUGACGGGUAGCCGGCCUGAGAGGGUGACCGGCCACAUUGGGACUGAGAUACGGCCCAGACUCCUACGGGAGGCAGCAGUGGGGAAUAUUGCACAAUGGGCGGAAGCCUGAUGCAGCAACGCCGCGUGCGGGAUGACGGCCUUCGGGUUGUAAACCGCUUUCGCCUGUGACGAAGCGUGAGUGACGGUAAUGGGUAAAGAAGCACCGGCUAACUACGUGCCAGCAGCCGCGGUGAUACGUAGGGUGCGAGCGUUGUCCGGAUUUAUUGGGCGUAAAGGGCUCGUAGGUGGUUGAUCGCGUCGGAAGUGUAAUCUUGGGGCUUAACCCUGAGCGUGCUUUCGAUACGGGUUGACUUGAGGAAGGUAGGGGAGAAUGGAAUUCCUGGUGGAGCGGUGGAAUGCGCAGAUAUCAGGAGGAACACCAGUGGCGAAGGCGGUUCUCUGGGCCUUUCCUGACGCUGAGGAGCGAAAGCGUGGGGAGCGAACAGGCUUAGAUACCCUGGUAGUCCACGCUGUAAACGGUGGGUACUAGGUGUGGGGUCCAUUCCACGGGUUCCGUGCCGUAGCUAACGCUUUAAGUACCCCGCCUGGGGAGUACGGCCGCAAGGCUAAAACUCAAAGGAAUUGACGGGGCCCCGCACAAGCGGCGGAGCAUGCGGAUUAAUUCGAUGCAACGCGUAGAACCUUACCUGGGUUUGACAUGGAUCGGGAGCGCUCAGAGAUGGGUGUGCCUCUUUUGGGGUCGGUUCACAGGUGGUGCAUGGCUGUCGUCAGCUCGUGUCGUGAGAUGUUGGGUUAAGUCCCGCAACGAGCGCAACCCUUGUUCACUGUUGCCAGCACGUUAUGGUGGGGACUCAGUGGAGACCGCCGGGGUCAACUCGGAGGAAGGUGGGGAUGACGUCAAGUCAUCAUGCCCCUUAUGUCCAGGGCUUCACGCAUGCUACAAUGGCUGGUACAGAGAGUGGCGAGCCUGUGAGGGUGAGCGAAUCUCGGAAAGCCGGUCUCAGUUCGGAUUGGGGUCUGCAACUCGACCUCAUGAAGUCGGAGUCGCUAGUAAUCGCAGAUCAGCAACGCUGCGGUGAAUACGUUCCCGGG